rnacentral:rRNA from 1 species
GAAGAAUGGAGACGUGCUACCAUGCAGUCGAACGAUGACCCGAAGCUUGCUUUGGAGGUUAGUGGCGAACGGGUGAGUAACACGUGAGCAACCUGCCCCUCACUCUGGGAUAAGCGCUGGAAACGGCGUCUAAUACUGGAUACGAGACGCGACCGCAUGGUCAGUGUCUGGAAAGAUUUUUUGGUGGGGGAUGGGCUCGCGGCCUAUCAGCUUGUUGGUGAGGUAAUGGCUCACCAAGGCGUCGACGGGUAGCCGGCCUGAGAGGGUGACCGGCCACACUGGGACUGAGACACGGCCCAGACUCCUACGGGAGGCAGCAGUGGGGAAUAUUGCACAAUGGGCGGAAGCCUGAUGCAGCAACGCCGCGUGAGGGAUGACGGCCUUCGGGUUGUAAACCUCUUUUAGCAGGGAAGAAGCGAAAGUGACGGUACCUGCAGAAAAAGCACCGGCUAACUACGUGCCAGCAGCGGCGGUAAUACUGC